AACACUUGAGGCUGGACGGGCUCCUCGGGCCCUCCAGCUGACGACACUUGAGGCUGGACGGGCUCCUCGGGCCCUCCAGCUAACGACACUUGGGGCUGGACGGGCUCCUCGGGCCCUCCAGCAGGAGCAGAUGCAGGGCCAGAGGCAAUUGGGACCCCUGGCUGAGGGUGUAGAUGAGUGGCUGACCGAGCAGUUGACAAAGCUAAUGAUUCCUCCACUAACUGAGCUACUGACUGGGUUAUGGACUGUAACAGAGUUUGUAGUAAGUCUGAUUUUGGAAAUGACUGAGCUAUGGGUGGCGGAGCUGAAUGUGGUGGAGGUGGAGACCGAGCUACGGGUGACUGAAUCUGAGAUGAAAACGGUGUCGGAGGUGGAGACCGAGCUACAGGUGGCUGCUGAGCAGGGAACACUGGACACUGAGCUACAGGUGGCUGCUGAGCAGCUAGCUGAGCUGAAGGUGUGGAAAUGAAAGCUACACCAGUCCGUACUACAGGAGAGAAUGUAAGUGUGGUUGGGUGAUGAUGGUGAGGGUUGCAUUUCUUCUUUAAGGGCGGAUCAAACGAUUUGGCGAUAAACCCUGGCAAAAAAUGCUGCUGUUGGUGAGAGCACCAAGUGGCGAGGGCCUCCAGGAGAACAACUGAAUCCUUUUUCCCUGGGCCGCCCAUGCCAAACAGUUCGAAAUUUAGCCUCGCUCUUAGAGCUGUUAUUAUGUGUUUGAGUCCAUUUAUGUGCGGAAAACUGAUAGUCGAGGCAGUGGACGACAAAAAAUUAUCAAAAAACACUACCUCCAACAGCCUCUUCUCGGGGCUCGCUGCAUGGGCUAUCCUCCAACAGUAAUCCCAUAGGUGCGCGAGAUUCUCUCCCUUGGAGGCAAAAUGUGAGUCCGCUGGAUCCAUACUGGUCGCGUCGUUCUGUCAGGGCUCUGUGUGCGGGCAGGCGGAGAGGAGGAUCCAAACGCAGGACUCUGACACGGAAUUGUAACUUAAAACCUCAGCUUUAUUGCUGGCACGAAAACAAAACAUAAACUGAGCAAAGGUACUGAAUUACUGAAAUACUGAAUACCGAAACACUGAAUACUGAAACACUGACACAGAAACACACAGGCAUAGUCUGAAUGGUACGACGCGACACUGAGCGGGGGCAAACACAGGGCUAAUAUACACAGGGAAGUAAUCAGGGAAUGGACAACAGAAGGGAGACACAGCUGGGAGAAAUCAGGGCUGACGAGACAGGGGGAACAAAGCUGCACACACUAACAUGAGGCACACUCCUUCAAAACAAAACAGGAAACCAUAAACCACUAAACAAGGACGCAGACUGAGAGGCAGAAUAUAACACAUAAAACUCAAACAAUUCAUGAAACCAUAAUUCCUAAAACAUGAAACUCUAAUAACAAUCAUCAUCAUAAUCACAACAAGAGAUGAGAAAAA